rnacentral:rRNA from 1 species
GAUGAACGCUGGCGGCGUGCCUAAUACAUGCAAGUCGAGCGAACGGACGAGAAGCUUGCUUUUCUGAUGUUAGCGGCGGACGGGUGAGUAACACGUGGAUAACCUACCUAUAAGACUGGGAUAACUUCGGGAAACCGGAGCUAAUACCGGAUAAUAUUUUGAACCGCAUGGUUCAAAAGUGAAAGACGGUCUUGCUGUCACUUAUAGAUGGAUCCGCGCUGCAUUAGCUAGUUGGUAAGGUAACGGCUUACCAAGGCAACGAUGCAUAGCCGACCUGAGAGGGUGAUCGGCCACACUGGAACUGAGACACGGUCCAUACUCCUACGGGAGGCAGCAGUAGGGAAUCUUCCGCAAUGGGCGAAAGCCUGACGGAGCAACGCCGCGUGAGUGAUGAAGGUCUUCGGAUCGUAAAACUCUGUUAUUAGGGAAGAACAUAUGUGUAAGUAACUGUGCACAUCUUGACGGUACCUAAUCAGAAAGCCACGGCUAACUACGUGCCAGCAGCCGCGGUAAUACGUAGGUGGCAAGCGUUAUCCGGAAUUAUUGGGCGUAAAGCGCGCGUAGGCGGUUUUUUAAGUCUGAUGUGAAAGCCCACGGCUCAACCGUGGAGGGUCAUUGGAAACUGGAAAACUUGAGUGCAGAAGGGGAAAGUGGAAUUCCAUGUGUAGCGGUGAAAUGCGCAGAGAUGUGGAGGAACACCAGUGGCGAAGGCGACUUUCUGGUCUGUAACUGACGCUGAUGUGCGAAAGCGUGGGGAUCAAACAGGAUUAGAUACCCUGGUAGUCCACGCCGUAAACGAUGAGUGCUAAGUGUUAGGGGGUUUCCGCCCCUUAGUGCUGCAGCUAACGCAUUAAGCACUCCGCCUGGGGAGUACGACCGCAAGGUUGAAACUCAAAGGAAUUGACGGGGGCCCGCACAAGCGGUGGAGCAUGUGGUUUAAUUCGAAGCAACGCGAAGAACCUUACCAAAUCUUGACAUCCUUUGACAACUCUAGAGAUAGAGCCUUCCCCUUCGGGGGACAAAGUGACAGGUGGUGCAUGGUUGUCGUCAGCUCGUGUCGUGAGAUGUUGGGUUAAGUCCCGCAACGAGCGCAACCCUUAAGCUUAGUUGCCAUCAUUAAGUUGGGCACUCUAAGUUGACUGCCGGUGACAAACCGGAGGAAGGUGGGGAUGACGUCAAAUCAUCAUGCCCCUUAUGAUUUGGGCUACACACGUGCUACAAUGGACAAUACAAAGGGCAGCGAAACCGCGAGGUCAAGCAAAUCCCAUAAAGUUGUUCUCAGUUCGGAUUGUAGUCUGCAACUCGACUACAUGAAGCUGGAAUCGCUAGUAAUCGUAGAUCAGCAUGCUACGGUGAAUACGUUCCCGGGUCU